rnacentral:rRNA from 1 species
UACGAAGGGGGCUAGCGUUGCUCGGAAUCACUGGCGUAAAGGGUGCGUAGGCGGGUCUUUAAGUCAGGGGUGAAAUCCUGGAGCUCAACUCCAGAACUGCCUUUGAUACUGAAGAUCUUGAGUUCGGGAGAGGUGAGUGGAACUGCGAGUGUAGAGGUGAAAUUCGUAAGAUUAUCGCAAGAACACCAGUGGCGAAAGGCGGCUCACUGGCCCGAUACUGACGCUGAGGCACGAAAGCGUGGGAGCGAACGAGG